rnacentral:rRNA from 1 species
UACGUAGGUGGCGAGCGUUGUCCGGAAUUACUGGGUGUAAAGCGCGUGUAGGCGGGAGGCCAAGUCUGCUGUGAAAUCGCCCGGCUCAACUGGGCGGGGUCGGUGGAAACUGGUCACCUGGAGGACGGUAGAGGCGAGUGGAAUUCCCGGUGUAGUGGUGAAAUGCGUAGAGAUCGGGAGGAACACCAGUGGCGAAGGCGGCUCACUGGCCCGGUACUGACGCUGAGGUGCGAAAGCGUGGGGAGCAAACAGG